ensembl:snoRNA
AGCACUUUGUGUGUUCAACUGGUGGACAAAGUCUUGGAAGAAAGGUGCAAAAAUAAAUCCUUUUUUGCAACCAGGACUCACUGUUCAGUGUGAGUUGUGAAACAGUCAAGAAGGAAUGAU